ACUCCUACGGGAGGCAGCAGUGGGGAAUAUUGGACAAUGGGGGGAACCCUGAUCCAGCAAUGCCGCGUGUGUGAAGAAGGCCUGAGGGUUGUAAAGCACUUUCAGUGGGGAGGAGGAUUGCCAGGUUAAGAGCUAGGUAAUUGGACGUUACCCACAGAAGAAGCACCGGCUAACUCCGUGCCAGCAGCCGCGGUAAUACGAAGGGUGCAAGCGUUACU
rnacentral:rRNA from 1 species